UAUAAUUUAUAACAGAUAGUUUAAUUUAAAGUUAAUGCUGCAAUUCUAUUUUGUACAAAACAAUAUAUUAUUAUUAUAUUAUUAUUUUUAAAUAUUUUUCAUUUGAAAUAAAACAAAAUACAACGUAAGUAAUCCUCUUCUCUACGACCAUAUCGAUUUUCUUCAAUGUUUGUUAGAAACUAUAUUAUAUCCAUCAUUACCCAUGAAAACAUUAAGAAUAGCUACCAACUAAUAAUUCUCAUCUUUAUAAGGUUCGUUGUGUUCGUCGUCUUCGGAAUCCAAAGAAUGAAUUGUUACUACGAUACAAAUCUGUUGCAUAAAACAAAUAGUAAUUAAUAUUGUGUAAUAUCAUAUAUUCAUAUGCAUAUAUCUUCAUAAUAAUUAUUUGUGUAUAUAAUUUAUUGGUUCUCUAUAAAAUAUAUAUUGUACACAGUUUAAUGUCCUCUUUCUUUUUUAUAUUUUCGAAAACAAAUUUUGGUCGUUUGUUAAAAGUACACAUUUAGUUAGGUAGGUACCUAUAUAUGUUCGUCUAUUUCUUUAUUACACGUUUGAUUAUCGUGUCAACUUUAAGGGAACCAUAUCUAUAUUCAAAGAUAAUCAAACGAAAAUAGUUCACUUACAGGUUAACUUUGAUUUUUCUUUUUUUUACUCUGACUUUGCCGCGGUCGUUAUCAUGUACAAUUCUAAUGUGUUUUCGUGUUCAUUUUGAUGAAAUGACUCUAUAUUUGGCAGGAUCGGCGAAAUCAUCAUCCCAAAAGUAUGCGAUACCAAUACCAGGAUCACAAUUCCACGAAUCUAUAUUUGCCAUAGCGUCGACAAACUAUAUAUGCAUGAUAUUUUCCAAAAAAUUUGAAAUUUGAAUGUGUUUAUGGGUUUUUUAAUGAAAUAAAUUACACCUGCAUAUUUUAGUAAUUUUACUUUCGCACCAAUCGUACCCUAUGGUGGAAAACAUACUCUUUAAGAUGAUGUUCAACAAACAACCUAGAUUUUCUUUCAAAAGUAUAGAAAGAGGAGGGUGCACUACUGUGUACAAUAUAUAUUUUGUAGAAAAUUAAUCGUACACAGAAAUAACUAUUAAGUAGAUAAAUACAUACUAUGUUAUUAUACAAUAUUAAUUACUAUUUAUUCUAUGCUAUAAUUUGUUGAAAUCCGAAGAUGACGAACACAAUGAACCUCAUGAUGAACACAACGAACUUCAUGACGAACACAACGAACCUCAUGACGAACACAAUGAACCUCAUGAUGAACACAACGAACCUCAUGACGAACAUAACAAACCUCAUGGCGAACACAACGAACCUCAUGAAAAUGAGAGUUCUACAAAAAUAAACAAAAAAUUUGCGCAUAAAGCACAAAAAGUACGAUUGAUACGAAAGUAAAAUUACUAAAAUAUGCAGGUGUAAUUGAUUUCAUUAAAAAACCCACAAACACAUUCAAAUUUCAAAUUUUUUGGAAAAUAUCAUGCAUAUAUAGUUUGUCGACGCUAUGGCAAAUAUAGAUUCGUGGAAUUGUGAUCCUGAUAUUGAUAUCGCAUACUUUUGGGAUGAUGAUUUCGCCGGUCCUGUCAAAUAUAGAGUCAUUUCAUCAAAAUGAACACGAAAACACAUUAGAAUUGUACAUGAUAACGACCGCGGCAAAGUCAGAGUAAAAAAAAGAAAAAUCAAAGUUAACCUGUAAGUGAACUAUUUUCGUUUAAUUAUCUUUGAAUAUAGAUAUGGUUCCCUUAAAGUUGACACGAUAAUCAAACGUGUAAUAAAGAAAUAGACGAACAUAUAUAGGUACCUACCUAACUAAAUAUGUACUUUUAACAAACGACCAAAAUUUGUUUUCGAAAAUAUAAAAAAGAAAGAGGACAUUAAACUGUGUACAAUAUAUAUUUUAUAGAGAACCAAUUAUAUACACAAAUAAUUAUUAUGAAGAUGUAUACAUAUGAAUAUAUGAUAUUACACAAUAUUAAUUACUAUUUAAUUUAAUAGUAUAAUAUGUGAA